UGACUGUGUGUGUGUGUUGACUGUGUCAUUGUGCAAGCGCUCCAUAACUACCUAUUGGCACCUGAUAAUGCAUGCAUAUUUCUAUAUAAGGUCACUGGCAUGUUAUUUUAUGACCUACAUACCUCUGUAGUUGGUAGUAUCAUUGCCCUUUGGACACUCUUCAAUGCAUUGCUGUAUAUUUAUGAUGUUUGUGCUCAGAAUGAUGUAUAUGUAGAAUCCAGGGGUGGAUGGAGGUUUUCAUGAUGGCUAAUUUGAUUUAUUAUUAUGGUUGUUCUGAUGGUGUGCUUCUGCUGUUUGAACUGAAGUUGUGUAUCGUCCAUCAACCUGGUCUGUGUUUGUAUGCUGAAUUAUUUCCGGAUAGGACAGAGGUGCAAUGUUUACAUCCAUGGCAGAAGGUUCUUUAACACCGAACUCAUCAAAGGUCCUUGGGCUCAAGAGGAAGAUAACAAAUUUUUUGACCUUGUAAACAAGUAUGGACCAACAAAAAUGAUCUCAUUACAAGUGGACGUAUAGGCAAGCCAUGUCGGGAGAGGUCAGCUACUAGAACUUCCUGCUACUGAUCCUGGGAUGUUCUGAACAUGCUCCGGAACAUGUUCAAUUUAUCCACCCUAGGACAGCCACUGCCAUGACACAGCAGGCUACUUGGCAUGCUCAGCGUGUUUACGUCGGUGGACUUCCUCCAAUUUCUAAUGAACAGAUGGUUGCUCUAUUCUUCAAUCAAGUUAUGGCUGCUAUCGGGGGAAACGCAUUUGGUCCAGGUGAUGCAGUUGUUAAUAUGAAGCUGAUUUUUGAAUUCAUACA